UACGUAGGUGGCGAGCGUUAUCCGGAUUUACUGGGUGUAAAGGGCGUGUAGGCGGGACUGCAAGUCAGAUGUGAAAAUUAUGGGCUCAACCCAUAACCUGCAUUUGAAACUGUAGUUCUUGAGUGAUGGAGAGGCAGGCGGAAUUCCGUGUGUAGCGGUGAAAUGCGUAGAUAUACGGAGGAACACCAGUGGCGAAGGCGGCCUGCUGGACAUUAACUGACGCUGAGGCGCGAAAGCGUGGGGAGCAAAC
rnacentral:rRNA from 1 species